UACGGGGGGGGGCAAGCGUUGUUCGGAAUUACUGGGCGUAAAGGGCUCGUAGGCGGCCAACUAAGUCAGACGUGAAGUCCCUCGGCUUAACCGGGGAACUGCAUCUGAUACUGGAUGGCUUGAGAUUGGGAGAGGGAUGCGGAAUUCCAGGUGUAGCGGUGAAAUGCGUAGAUAUCUGGAGGAACACCGGUGGCGAAGGCGGCAUCCUGGACCAACACUGACGCUGAGUGAGCGAAAGCCAGGGGAGCAAACGGG
rnacentral:rRNA from 1 species